rnacentral:rRNA from 1 species
CGGGGGGGGAGGCUUACACAUGCAGUCGAGCGGUAGCACAGGGGAGCUUGCUCCCUGGGUGACGAGCGGCGGACGGGUGAGUAAUGUCUGGGAAACUGCCUGAUGGAGGGGGAUAACUACUGGAAACGGUAGCUAAUACCGCAUAACGUCGCAAGACCAAAGAGGGGGACCUUCGGGCCUCUUGCCAUCAGAUGUGCCCAGAUGGGAUUAGCUAGUAGGUGGGGUAAUGGCUCACCUAGGCGACGAUCCCUAGCUGGUCUGAGAGGAUGACCAGCCACACUGGAACUGAGACACGGUCCAGACUCCUACGGGAGGCAGCAGUGGGGAAUAUUGCACAAUGGGCGCAAGCCUGAUGCAGCCAUGCCGCGUGUGUGAAGAAGGCCUUCGGGUUGUAAAGCACUUUCAGCGAGGAGGAAGGUGGUGAACUUAAUACGUUCAUCAAUUGACGUUACUCGCAGAAGAAGCACCGGCUAACUCCGUGCCAGCAGCCGCGGUAAUACGGAGGGUGCAAGCGUUAAUCGGAAUUACUGGGCGUAAAGCGCACGCAGGCGGUUUGUUAAGUCAGAUGUGAAAUCCCCGGGCUCAACCUGGGAACUGCAUUUGAAACUGGCAAGCUAGAGUCUCGUAGAGGGGGGUAGAAUUCCAGGUGUAGCGGUGAAAUGCGUAGAGAUCUGGAGGAAUACCGGUGGCGAAGGCGGCCCCCUGGACGAAGACUGACGCUCAGGUGCGAAAGCGUGGGGAGCAAACAGGAUUAGAUACCCUGGUAGUCCACGCUGUAAACGAUGUCGAUUUGGAGGUUGUGCCCUUGAGGCGUGGCUUCCGGAGCUAACGCGUUAAAUCGACCGCCUGGGGAGUACGGCCGCAAGGUUAAAACUCAAAUGAAUUGACGGGGGCCCGCACAAGCGGUGGAGCAUGUGGUUUAAUUCGAUGCAACGCGAAGAACCUUACCUACUCUUGACAUCCAGAGAACUUUCCAGAGAUGGAUUGGUGCCUUCGGGAACUCUGAGACAGGUGCUGCAUGGCUGUCGUCAGCUCGUGUUGUGAAAUGUUGGGUAGUCCCGCACGAGCGCACCUUAUCUUUGUGCCAGCGGUUCGGCCGGGAACUCAAAGGAGACUGCCCAGUGAUAAACCUGGAAGG